UGAUGACAAGCAGGUGUACCAAGUGGAUUUUGUGAUUCUUUGCAUGGGAAGAUAUAGUGACUUGCCAAAUAUUCCUGAUUUUCCAUUGAGCAAAGGACCUGAAGUAUUCAAUGGCAAGGUGUUACAUUCCAUGGAUUAUGCUGCAAUGGAUGAUGAUGUUGCCGCUGACUUAAUCAAAGAAAAGCGAGUCACAGUCAUUGGAUUUCAGAAAUCAGCAGUGGAUAUAGCAGCAGAAGUUGCUAACAAAAACGGUACAAACCUUGGCUCAUUCUCUAGGAAUAAUCCUCUUUUUUGUAUAUAAUCUACUUUCUUUUGACACUCGACAUAAUUUUAUGGUUAUCAAAAGGAGCAACUCACCCAUGUACACUGCUAUUCAAGACGGCUCACUGGAUUGUCCCCGAAUAUUUACUCCCACUUGUGUUUCAAGGCUUGAACCGCUUCACAGAGUUAAUGAUCCACAAGCCUGGUGAAGGUUUCUUCAUCUGGCUCCUAG
rnacentral:lncRNA from 1 species